AACGAACGCUGGCGGCAGGCCUAACACAUGCAAGUCGAACGCUCCGCAAGGGGAGUGGCGCACGGGUGAGUAACACGUGGGAACCUACCUUCUGGUACGGAACAACCAAGGGAAACUUUGGCUAAAACCGUAUACGACCUCCGGGUGAAAGAUUGAUCGCCGGAAGAGGGGCCCGCGUCCGAUUAGGUAGUUGGUGAGGUAACGGCUCACCAAGCCUACGAUCGGUAGCUGGUCUGAGAGGAUGACCAGCCACACUGGGACUGAGACACGGCCCAGACUCCUACGGGGGG
rnacentral:rRNA from 1 species